rnacentral:tRNA from 1 species
GUGGGGUUGUGGCUCAGUGGUAGAGUGCUUGCCUAGCAUGCAUGAGGCACUGGGUUUGAUCCUCAGCACCACA